rnacentral:rRNA from 1 species
AAGCGUUAUCCGGAUUCACUGGGUUUAAAGGGUGCGUAGGUGGGCAGGUAAGUCAGUGGUGAAAUCUCCGGGCUUAACCCGGAAACUGCCAUUGAUACUAUCUGUCUUGAAUACCGUGGAGGUGAGCGGAAUAUGUCAUGUAGCGGUGAAAUGCUUAGAUAUGACAUAGAACACCAAUUGCGAAGGCAGCUCACUACACGAAUAUUGACACUGAGGCACGAAAGCGUGGGGAUCAAACAGG